GAUGAAGAACGUAGCGAAAUGCGAUAAGUAAUGUGAAUUGCAGAGUUCAGUGAAUCAUCGAAUCUUUGAACGCACAUUGCGCCCGUCAGUAUUCUGACGGGCAUGCCUGUCCGAGCGUCAUUUCAACCCUCAAGCACGGCUUGUGUGUUGGGCCCCCGCCCCCCGGCUUCGGGGGGCGGGCCCGAAAGGCAGCGGCGGCACCGCGUCCGGUCCUCGAGCGUAUGGGGCUUCGUCACCCGCUCUGUAGGCCCGGCCGGCGCCCGCCGGCGACCCCAAUCAAUCUUUCCAGGUUGACCUCGGAUCAGGUAGGGAUACCCGCUGAACUUAAGCAUAUCAAUAAGCGGAGGA
rnacentral:misc_RNA from 1 species